AUUGAACGCUGGCGGCAUGCCCUACACAUGCAAGUCGAACGGCAGCACGGGUGCUUGCACCUGGUGGCGAGUGGCGAACGGGUGAGUAAUACAUCGGAACGUACCUUAUCGUGGGGGAUAACGCAGCGAAAGCUGUGCUAAUACCGCAUACGCCCUGAGGGGGAAAGCGGGGGAUCGCAAGACCUCGCGCGAUUAGAGCGGCCGAUGCCCGAUUAGCUUGUUGGUGGGGUAAAAGCCCACCAAGGCGACGAUCAGUAGCUGGUCUGAGAGGACGAUCAGCCACACUGGGACUGAGACACGGCCCAGACUCCUACGGGAGGCAGCAGUGGGGAAUUUUGGACAAUGGGGGCAACCCUGAUCCAGCAAUGCCGCGUGAGUGAAGAAGGCCUUCGGGUUGUAAAGCUCUUUUGUCAGGGAAGAAACUCCGGCUCUAACACAGUCCGGGAAUGACGGUACCUGAAGAAUAAGCACCGGCUAACUACGUGCCAGCCGCCGCAGUAA
rnacentral:rRNA from 1 species